GCCUAAUACAUGCAAGUCGAGCGAACAGAUAAGGAGCUUGCUCCUUUGACGUUAGCGGCGGACGGGUGAGUAACACGUGGGUAACCUACCUAUAAGACUGGAAUAACUCCGGGAAACCGGGGCUAAUGCCGGAUAAUGUUGAACCGCAUGGUUCUACAGUGAAAGACGGUCUUGCUGUCACUUAUAGAUGGACCCGCGCCGUAUUAGUUGGUGGGGUAACGGCCUACCAAGGCGACGAUACGUAGCCGACCUGAGAGGGUGAUCGGCCACACUGGAACUGAGACACGGUCCAGACUCCUACGGGAGGCAGCAGUAGGGAAUCUUCCGCAAUGGGCGAAAGGACGGAGCAACGCCGCGUGAGUGAUGAAGGUCUUCGGAUCGUAAAGCUCUGUUGUUAGGGAAGAACAAAUGUGUAAGUAACUGUGCACAUCUUGACGGUACCUAACCAGAAAGCCACGGCUAACUACGUGCCAGCAGCCGGUAAUACGUAGGUGGCAAGCGUUAUCCGGAAUUAUUGGGCGUAAAGCGCGCGUAGGCGGUUUUUUAAUCUGAUGUGAAAGCCCACGGCUCAACCGUGGAGGGUCAUUGGAAACUGGAAAACUUGAGUGCAGAAGAGAAAGUGGAAUUCCAUGUGUAGCGGUGAAAUGCGCAGAGAUAUGGAGGAACACCAGUGGCGAAGGCGGCUUCUGGUCUGCAACUGACGCUGAUGUGCGAAAGCGUGGGGAUCAAACAGGAUUAGAUACCCUGGUAGUCCACGCCGUAAACGAUGAGUGCUAAGUGUUAGGGGGUUUCCGCCCCUUAGUGCUGCAGCUAACGCAUUAAGACUCCGCCUGGGGAGUACGGUCGCAAGACUGAAACUCAAAGGAAUUGACGGGGACCCGCACAAGCGGUGAGCAUGUGGUUUAAUUCGAAGCAACGCGAAGAACCUUACCAAAUCUUGACAUCCUUUGACCGCUCUAGAUAGAGUUUUCCUCUUCGGAGGACAAAGUGACAGGUGGUGCAUGGUUGUCGUCAGCUCGUGUCGUGAGAUGUUGGGUUAAGUCCCGCAACGAGCGCAACCCUUGAACUUAGUUGCCAUCAUUCAGUUGGGCACUCUA
rnacentral:rRNA from 1 species